AUUGAACGCUGGCGGCAGGCCUAACACAUGCAAGUCGAACGAGUGGCGGACGGGUGAGUAAUGUCUGGGAAACUGCCCGAUGGAGGGGGAUAACCACUGGAAACGGUAGCUAAUACCGCAUACCAUCGGAUGUGCCCAGAUGGGAUUAGCGGGUGGGUGGGGUAAUGGCUCACCUAGGCGACGAUCCCUAGCUGGUCUGAGGGGAUGACCAGCCAAACUGGAACUGGGACACGGUCCAGACUCCUACGGGAGGCAGCAGUGGGGAAUAUUGCACAAUGGGCGCAAGCCUGAUGCAGCAAUGCCGCGUGUAUGAAGAAGGCCUUCGGGUUGUAAAGUACUUUCAGCGGGGAGGCGUUACCCGCAGAAGAAGCACCGGCUAACUCCGUGCCAGCAGCCGCGGUAAUAC
rnacentral:rRNA from 1 species